rnacentral:rRNA from 1 species
AAGGGUCCGUAGGCGGUUUAGUAAGUCAGUGGUGAAAGCCCAUCGCUCAACGGUGGAACGGCCAUUGAUACUGCUAAACUUGAAUUAUUAGGAAGUAACUAGAAUAUGUAGUGUAGCGGUGAAAUGCUUAGAGAUUACAUGGAAUACCAAUUGCGAAGGCAGGUUACUACUAAUGGAUUGACGCUGAUGGACGAAAGCGUGGGUAGCGAACAGGAUUAGAUACCCUGGUAGUCCACGCCGUAAACGAUGGAUACUAGCUGUUGGAAGCAAUUUCAGUGGCUAAGCGAAAGUGAUAAGUAUCCCACCUGGGGAGUACGUUCGCAAGAAUGAAACUCAAAGGAAUUGACGGGGGCCCGCACAAGCGGUGGAGCAUGUGGUUUAAUUCGAUGAUACGCGAGGAACCUUACCAAGGCUUAAAUGUAGAUUGACCGGUUUGGAAACAGACUUUUCGCAAGACAAUUUACAAGGUGCUGCAUGGUUGUCGUCAGCUCGUGCCGUGAGGUGUCAGGCUAAGUCCUAUAACGAGCGCAACCCCUGUUGUUAGUUGCCAGCGAGUCAUGUCGGGAACUCUAACGAGACUGCCAGUGCAAACUGAGAGGAAGGUGGGGAUGACGUCAAAUCAUCACGGCCCUUACGCCUUGGGCUACACACGUGCUACAAUGGUCGGUACAGCGGGUUGCGAACUUGUAAAAGUAAGCUAAUCCCUUAAAGCCGAUCUAAGUUCGGAUUGAGGUCUGCAACUCGACCUCAUGAAGUUGAAAUCGCUAGUAAUCGC